rnacentral:rRNA from 1 species
UACGAAGGGGGCUAGCGUUGUUCGGAAUCACUGGGCGUAAAGCGCACGUAGGCGGAUGUGCCAGUCAGGGGUGAAAUCCCGGAGCUCAACUCCGGAACUGCCUCUGAUACAGCACGUCUUGAGUUCGAGAGAGGUGGGUGGAAUUCCUAGUGUAGAGGUGAAAUUCGUAGAUAUUAGGAAGAACACCAGUGGCGAAGGCGGCUCACUGGUCCGGUACUGACGCUGAGGUGCGAAAGCGUGGGGAGCAAACAGG